CCGGUGGAGCUCGUAGCAUGUCACAGCACGGUCGCCUCUUUUGAAUUUCAGAGCGAUCAGCGGUUUCCAGGCCUUACGUUGUGAAAACUAAGCAAGUCUGGGCAAUGGCUGCAUAUUUCCCAGAGAAUGAGAGAGAUCAUCAUCCACACCGCACUCCCAGCCCAGCGCCGCACUCCACACCAGCCUCCUCCUCUGCCUCCACGUUUUUCUAGAAGACAGAACUACAAAGGUGCCAUAACAACAAUCGUGUUUUUGUGGGAACAUGGAUGAGAGAUGGCUACAGGAUGAAAUGGGCAGAACACAGCACAUGGGAAUGGUUCACCGUAUGGGAUCAAGACGAGGAAGCAUCAAAUCCAAUGGCAUGGCACCGGAGUUCUGGUCAGAUCAGCCAGGUGCCUCCGCAGGAUACUACAACCUCUGUGUCCCUAUACCUUGUGAUGACAAUGGCUGUGUUUACCAGGACUGUCCACUCUACAUAACCAGCAAUGAGCAAUCAUCAGUAGUCGCUGAGUCACCAAACACCCUAAAAGAACAGGCUGGUGAAGAACAAAGGUCCAACUUCAUACCUCAAGAUUUUCACAGGAUACCAGAGGUGGAAAUGCGAGGUUCUGAAGAUGUCUCAACAGGAACUGUUCUUCAGCGACUGAUCCAAGAGCAGCUGAGAUAUGGAAAUCCCAAUGAGAAUAUGAACCUUCUGGCUAUACAGCAAGCCACAGGAAGUGCAGGACCAAGCAAUAUCAUCGCAAAUUCCAUUUCAUCUACUGAAAACCUCACCCAAGAAGACCCACAAAUGGUCGGCCAGUCAGCGAGGCAAGAACCACAGGGGCAAGAACAUCAGGUGGACAAUACUGUGAUGGAGAAAACCCUGAGGACAUCUCAGCCUCAACAAAACAACGAGGAGCUGCCAACCUACGAGGAAGCCAAGGCUCAGUCCCAGUUUUUUAGAGUUCAACCUCCUGGUCCUAUGGGUCCUGGUUUUUAUGUUGCCGGCAUUGUAGCCAACCAUAAAUCCAAAACUGAAGGAAGGCCGACAGUCAGCCGGGCCAACAGUGGACAGGCUCACCAAGACGAGGCACUUAAGGAACUCAAGCAGGGUCAUGUUCGCUCUAUGAGCGAGAGAAUAAUGCUGUCACUUGAGAGGAAUGGAGUUAAACAGCACUCUUCGGGCAGCAUUAAAGGACUUAAAAAUGGGGCUCCAUCUCCAGCUCCAAGCUUAGGGAAAGGAGGGGAACAAAGAGGACCCCCACCGGACUAUCCCCACAAGAUCAAACAAGCUCCAACUCCUGUGAAUAAAAUGCAAGAACAGGGGCACUUUUACAACGAUCAGCAACAUCUCAUGGUACACGAAAUGAUGAAACCUUACCCCACAUCACAACCGAACCGAACCGAGGUGUCUGCUCUCCGGUACCAGCAUCCUCCAGAAUAUAAUGUCACCAGCCGGCAGCAGCCUCCGGUCCCGUUCCCAUUGCACCCUCACAGUCCUAUGUCCUCUCAAGUGUCCUCAGUCAGCAGCUCCUUGCACUCUGCCUCCCUCCCAAUGUUUCCAAUGUCUAUGGCUUCCCACCCCACCCCGUCCCCAUCUCCUUCCCCGGGCCAACAACUUCCCCCCGAAGCCUUCGCCAUUGUGGAACGGGCUCACCAGAUGGUGGAGAUGUUAACCAAGGAGAACAGCAACUUGAAGCAGCACCUUGAAAGCUGCUAUGACAAAGCGGACAAGCUCCAUAAGUUUGAAGCUGAAAUCCAGAAGAUUUCGGAGGCUUACGAGAGCCUGGUGAAGUCGUCCACAAAGAGGGAAACGUUAGAUAAGGCCAUGAAAAAUAAGCUGGAGGGGGAAAUCCGGAGGCUGCACGACUUCAACCUGGAUCUGAGAGAUCGGCUUGAAACAGCCAACAGGCAGCUGGCCAACAGGGAGUAUAAUGGGCACGAGGACGCAGCGGAAGAGGGGCACUACGCCUUGAAAAACAAAGAACAGUUGAAGGAGAUGGAGGGGCUGCAGCGGGAACUGGCGGCUUUGCGUACGACCAACGAAGAGCAGAGGAGGCAUAUCGACAUCCUAGACCAAGCUUUGAAUAAUGCCCAGGCCAAAGUGGUCAAACUAGAAGAAGAGCUGCGCAAGAAACAAGUCUACGUGGAGGAGGUGGAGAAGCUGCAGCAGGCCCUGACGCAGCUGCAGGCGGCGGGAGAGAAGAGGGAGCAGCUGGAGCGGCGGCUGCGUACGCGACUGGAGAGAGAGCUGGAGUGUCUGAGGAUGCAGCAGAGACAAGCAAACCAUCAGGCAUCUAACAACUCAGAUUAUAGUGCUCCAGCCCUGAUGGAUCUGCUGAGGAAGAAGGAAGAGACCAUCUUGGCUCUGGAAGCAGAUACGACCAAAUGGGAACAGAAAUACUUAGAGGAAAGCGCAAAGCGGCAUUUUGCCAUGGACGCUGCCAGCACAGCCAUAUCCCAGACGGAUUCGACAAUCAUGAGUCAUUCGAGGAAUGGAAGUCACAACGAUAGCUCAUACGAUGUACGAAUGUGGCACGAAGAGGAAGAGAUCGUUCAGGCCAAUAGAAAGUUCCAGGACAUGGAACACACGAUAAAGAAUCUUCAUGCCAAAAUCAUAGAGCAAGACGCCAUGAUAAAAGUUCUCCAUCAACGUUCUCGAAAAGAUCAGGGCAAGAAUGACAACUCCAGCUUACGCCCCGCGCGGUCUGUGCCGUCUAUAGCCGCUGUGGCUGCUGUCACCUCGGGGUCCCACUCACGGCAGACGUCUCUGACCACCAAUCAGGCAGCAGAAGAGAAGAAGGAGGAAAAGAAUCGUAAAGGAAGUUUCGGGCUUCUCCAAAAUAAAGAAGGCAAAUACAAUCAUGAGACAAGCCCUUCACCUUCCUUAGCACUUCCUCUACCUUCAUUCAUGCUACCGCCACCACCUCCUUCAGUUCAACCCACCAUGACUGUGUCACAUACCAAAACCGGGAGUAAAGACAACAGCACCCAGACAGACAAGAGCUCUGAUCUCUUUUGGCCAAACUGCUCUUCGUUACCAGGUCGGGGGAGAAUAAAUAUGACCCCAUCCAGUAGUCCUCUUCUACGUCAUCCCAACACCAACAAGGAGAAGUCAGAACAUUCCCCUGUCCUCGGCAAGACUCUAGACUCUAAACUUAGAGCUGGCACUCCAAACCACUCCAAACUCCAGACUGAUCUUUCGGAGGCUGACAACACAAUGGAGGUGCUUAUCUGAGGGCUUGUUCAGACUCCGCUGCUUCUCGUGGCUCUAUAUAUCCACGUGGACUACAACAUUGUAAGACAUUGCUAAGAAAAUAUUAGACAAUUGAGUAGAAACUCAACUCGGACAAGUUACUUUUCCAGCUGGAACAGGCGGAUUAUUAAUAACUUUGGAUUACUGUAAAAUGAUGUCUAUACUUUGAAGACCGACCGAGAUGAGGACCGACUCUCCUGCCGUAUACAUAACUGCAUGCUAUAAAGAGUCUUCAAAGAUUCUACAAGCGUGCGGUGCCGCUUCCAUGCGUGGAUGGAGAGGUCCGAUCCGGUCAGUCAUUCUCUGAUGUCAAACCUAUGGCUGAAGUGUAUACUAGAGAUAUGAAUCCUUCUAGUGCACGUGACCCUCUUGUGAUAGGCAAUCGUUCUCUGCUGCCUGUAGUUGUGGGGUCAUCUCUGCGGUAUUUUCUUCUGUGUAAAUUGCUCAGCAGCUUGAAGCUUCUACUUAAUGUGCACAUUCUCUUCCCCUUGUCUUUUCUUGGAAUAUAUUUUUAUAAUAAAAGCUUUUUCUUUUUUGUAAAAAAAUAAAAA